UCGGCGGACGGGUGAGUAACGUGUGGGCAACCUGCCUUUUACUGGGGAAUAAUCACUGGAAACGGUGACUAAUACCGCAUAAUAUUCUUAGGAGGCAUCUUCUGAGAAGGAAAGGAAAUAUUCGGUAAAAGAUGGGCCCGCAUCUGAUUAGCUAGUUGGUGAGAUAACAGCCCACCAAGGCGACGAUCAGUAGCCGACCUGAGAGGGUGACCGGCCACAUUGGGACUGAGACACGGCCCAAACUCCUACGGGAGGCAGCAG
rnacentral:rRNA from 1 species